UUUGGCAUGUCCAACAGUUAUGCAGAGUGCUACCCAGCCACGUAUGUGAAACCUGGUUAAGGAAGGGAGGCUGGGAUGAUUGGGAAACAAGUUGGGGGUGAAAUGGAAAUUUGAUUCGCUAAGUUCCAGGGCUACUUCUUUUUUUUUUUUUUUUUUUUUUUUUUUUUUUUUUUUUUUUUUGAGACAGAGUCUCACUCUGUCACCCAGGCUGGAAUGCAAUGGUGUAAUCUCUGCUCGCUGCAAUCUCCAUCUCCCGGGUUCAAGCGAUUCUCCUGCCUCACCCUCCCAAGUAGCUGGGAUUAUAGGCAUGCAUCACCACACCUGGCUAGUUUUUGUAUUUUUAGUAGAGAUGAGGUUUCACCAUGUUGGUGAGGCUGGUCUUGAACUCCUGAUCUCAGGUAAUCUGCCCUCCUCAGCCUCCAAAAGUGCAGGGAUUACAGGAGUGAGCCACUGCGCCUGGCCCAAGGCUACUUCUUACUUGGAUGAACUAUUUUAUUAGGCUCUAAGUGGGAGGUCUAGGGGGUGGUCAUUCCUAUGCAGAUAACCUCUUAGUCGGGUAGGUUUCCAGAUGAAGCAUAGGGUCAGGGUAUGCAACAUCUGUUUAACUCUUGCUUCUCCUUAGGAUGGAUGACAUGGCUGUGGAUAGUGAUGAGGAGGUGGAUUAUAGCAAAAUGGACCAGGUAUGUAGUCAGAAGGAUGGUGGGCGCCUUUGGGCAGUUAUUAUUUGUUUUACAUGUAUCUCCUUCCCUACUCCUAAAAAAUCUAUCUCAUUUACUGGGCCCCACCCUCCUUUAGCUGCAGCAGUAGAAACAGCAGCAUUGAGGGUCACGAGCAGCUUAACUAUUUCAGAGUCUUUGCACAAGAUCAAAUGACAUAGGGUCAAAAAUCUAUUUUUUACUUCUUAUAGUAAAGUGCCAGGCUUUGAUUCCCAUGGUAGGCAGUAAGCAAGCAUCAAUGCAUAAGUAGAAAGGGCAGAAAAAAUUGCAGUCUUUGGAAAAUAACUAAAUUUUAUUCUAGCCAGGAUUGAAGUUUUCCUCUAAGUCUUAAGCAAAAUUAAAAAGAGAAAAACCACUAAUGCCACUAAUAGUGAAGAAGUCUCUGUUCUUCCCCUGAGUUCACUGUAUUGAAAUAGCAUGGUUUAAUCUUGGAGCCUUGUUUAAUCCUGCCUCUACUGUUUCUUAGUUUUGUGAACUUGCCAAGUUCUUUCACUGUUCAUGCCUCAGUUUCCUCAUCAGGAAAAUGGAGAGAAAUAUAGUUCCUUCUUCAUAGAUUUUAUGAGAAUUAAAUGAGAUAUGCAUUUAGUGUACAGAAUAAUGCCUGUCACAUAGUAAGUAUGUAAUAAGCAUUUAUUAUUACUUAUCAGGGUAUGAUUUAUGAAUUGUGGAACCUGGGAUUAUGGGAGAGUCUGGCUUCAAUCAAGGGCUGAAAUUCCAUUUCCACUGACAUCUCUUCCUUCCCCAUCCCCCCAUUCUGUCCUGCAACAGGGUAACAAGAAGGGGCCCUUAGGCCGUUGGGACUUUGAUACCCAGGAAGAAUACAGCGAGUAUAUGAACAACAAAGAGGCUUUGCCCAAGGCUGCAUUCCAGUAUGGUAUCAAAAUGUCUGAAGGGCGGAAAACCAGGCGCUUCAAGGAAACCAAUGACAAAGCAGAGCUUGAUCGCCAGUGGAAGAAGAUUAGUGCAAUCAUUGAGAAGAGGAAGAAGAUGGAAGCUGAUGGGUGAGCGGCAUUAUUCUUCCUCUGUGGGACUGGUGGGAAUUGCUUAGUGUAUUGAUCUUAUACUGACCCAUUUCUCCUUCCAUUGCAGGGUUGAAGUCAAAAGACCAAAAUACUAAUCACUAGUUACAACCAGAGAUGCUCCACAAGGAUAUGCUCCCCACUGUUUUCUUUCUACAAUUUCCAAAGGUUGCAAGAUGUUUUUUUGUGGAUGAAUAUAAAAUUUUAUUGUGUAAUUACUUGGUUCCAUUAAAAUUGGUUAACUUGCU
rnacentral:sRNA from 1 species